AUUGCACGCUGGCGGCAGGCCUAACACAUGCAAGUCGAGCGAGCGGCGGACGGGUGAGUAAUGUCUGGGAAACUGCCUGAUGGAGGGGGAUAACUACAGGAAACGGUAGCUAAUACCGCAUCCCAUCAGAUGUGCCCAUAUGGGAUUAGCUAGUCGGUGGGGUAACGGCUCACCUAGGCGACGAUCCCUAGCUGGGCUGAGAGGAUGACCAGACACCCUGGAACGGAGACACGGGCCAGACUCCUACGUGAGGCAGCAGUGGGGAAUAUUGCACAAUGGGCGAAAGCCUGAUGCAGCCAUGCCGCGUGUGUGAAGAAGGCCUUCGGGUUGUAAAGCACUUUCAGCGGGGAGGCGUUACCCGCAGAAGAAGCACCGGCUAACUCCGUGCCAGCAGCCGCGGUAAUUC
rnacentral:rRNA from 1 species